CGCCAAGUCAGCAUGGCCCUUACGUCCUGGGCUACACACACGCUACAAUGGCCGGUACAACGGGUUGCCAAACCGCGAGGUGGAGCUAAUCCCUUAAAGCCGGUCUCAGUUCGGAUUGCAGGCUGCAACUCGCCUGCAUGAAGCCGGAGUUGCUAGUAACCGCAGGUCAGCAUACUGCGGUGAAUAUGUUCCCGGGCCUU
rnacentral:rRNA from 1 species